UUUAUUCUGUCUCUUUUUUAUUGCUAGAAUUUAAUUUUUGAGUUAAAAAGCUUAAAUUUUCUUAUAGGACGAGAAGACCCUAUAGAUCUUUAUUAUUAUUAUUAUUUUGUUUUUUGGUUAUUUAUUUUUGAUUUUAUUUUAUUUAUUUUUUUGUUGGGGUGACAUUUAGAUAUUAUUAACUCUUUUUUUUUUCUUCAUUUAUUUUUGUUUAAUUGACCUUUUAUUAUUGUUUAUAANAAUUANAUACCUUAGGGAUAACAGCGUGAUUCUUUUUUANAGUUCUUAUUAACAGGGGAGAUUGCGACCUCGAUGUUGAAUUAAGAUAAUUAUUAGGUGUAGAAGCUUAAUUUUUUGGUCUGUUCGACCAUUANAUUCUUACAUGAUCUGAGUUCAAA
rnacentral:rRNA from 1 species